rnacentral:rRNA from 1 species
UACGGAGGUGGCAAGCGUUGCUCGGAAUCACUGGGCGUAAAGGGCGCGUAGGCGGGGAGGUAAGUCGGGUGUGAAAUCCCUCGGCCCAACCGAGGAACUGCGCCCGAGACUGCUUCUCUUGAGUCCCGGGAGAGGAAGAUGGAAUUCCCGGUGUAGCGGUGAAAUGUGUAGAGAUCGGGAGGAACACCGGUGGCGAAGGCGGUCUUCUGGACGGUGACUGACGCUGAGGCGCGAAAGCGUGGGGAGCAAACGGG